rnacentral:lncRNA from 1 species
GACCUGGUGGGGCCUCGCGGCCCUGCUCCCUGACGUCAGCGCCGCCGCGGUGAUUUAACAGCUUUUGUUUUGGGCAGAAGAACCUAUGGGCACAAAAAGCAGGAACGAGUAGCGGUGGCUGAAGAACGAGCAGGAGCUUGAAUUUCAGUUUUCUUAUGAGGAAUUUUCCAGAAAAGAUAUCUUCACUGUGAAAUAACUAAAUAAAUGCCCACUCAGUACAGUCACUGUCUCCCUUUUGGAACUUGAUGGCACCUUAAGCCCAGGUUUGCCUCCACUCUAGAAACUCAUCAGAGUGAUGCCCUUCUCAAAUGGGGGAGGUCCCAAAGCGGAUAUCCUGGCAGUGUGAAAGGCCGGCUAAAGGUUUGUGCCAAGAGGAUCUGUGGAAUGCAUCUCCUACAGCUGGUGCUGCUGAGUAACCACUCUGAUCUGGCAUCUUCUUUGAUCAAGUUACAGAGCAGAGUUUCCAGGGCUGGGGAUUGAAGUCCUGCCUCCUCCCUUUGUCUCUGGUUGUCCUCGGUAAUGUUUUUCCCUCAAGCUUUCCCUGCACUCCAAACACAGAGCUGAGACUUCCACCUAAUGUAGAAAGCUAGCACGAGCCGGCGCUGACAGAUGGAAGACUUGAGAUGUUACAAGAUUAUAUAUGGAAACACAAAAGGAGUGGAGUUGCUGGGUCAUAUGGCAAUUCAUUUGAGGAACUGAGAAGCUUAUUCCAUGGAGGCUGAACUGUUUUAUAUUCCCACCAGCAACGUAUUCUGUAUCCUCCAUAGUCCUAUUCAUGACAUGGGUCGUUCAUCUCUGUAUUCUAAACCCUCAAUGAACUGUAGACAGUAAUAAAUAUUUAUUGGAUGAA